UCAGAAGCAGAGCCUGCAGUGUUGCCACCAUGAACUGGACCCCACUCCUCCUCACCCUUCUCACUCAUUUUCCAGGGUCCUGGGCUCAGUCUCAACUGACACAAGAAGCCUCAGUGUCAGGGUCUGUGGGACAGAAGGUCACUCUCACGUGCACUGGGAGUAGGAGCAAUGUUGGGAUCUAUGGUGCAGGCUGGUACCAGCAGGUUCCUGGUGCUGCCCCUAAAACUGUCAUGAUACGCACUACACGGCCCUCGGGAAUCUCAGAUCGCUUUUCUGGCUCUCUGUCUGGUAACACAGCCUCCCUCACCAUCUCAAGUCUCCAGCCUGAGGAUGAAGCCGAUUAUUGCUGUUCUGCAUAUGAUGGUAAUAGUAAUUAA